UCAUUACACAAAUUCCAAUUCAAAAAGCUAUAAUUUUCUCCACUUUCCAUUCACCAUACUUCUCCUUUUCCAUUUAUAUCUCAAAAUUUCUUCCUCCCACCACUUGCUUAUAGCCAUUAUAACCAUAUCAACAAGUAGACAACCACCAUUGUACUUGGCUUGAUAAUAUGUUCUCCAACUUGAAAGUGAAUCAUAUGAUAGAUAGUGAAAUUUUUACAAAGUAAAAAGCGUUUUUCGUUCAAAAGAUGAUAGAUUCAACUACACAGCUUCAAUAAAAUCCGUUAAGGUAGUUGAUGUGACAGUGAUGACAACUCCGAGUUCUAUCCUUCCAAUGUCCCACACUUCUGCAACCUCCACUACCAACCACCCUCCUCCUUCUCGUCGUCGUCAUCUCUCACUUGCACGAUGGAAAGGUGCAAAACCAAUCCCACUAGUCGUAUCCAUAACAAUAGGCCUAAUCUUCCGUUUCGCGAUUCCAAAACCCCACAAACUCUCCAAAAACGCGUGGCAACUCCUAGCCAUUUUCCUCACAACUAUCUCGGGCCUCAUUUUAGGCCCGUUACCGGUGGGUGCAUGGGCAUUCUUUUGCCUAACGCUCACCGUAGUCACAAAAACUUUAACAUUCGCUGCAGCAUUUGCUGCUUUCACUAAUGAAGUCAUUUGGUUAAUUGUUGCAUCAUUUUUUUUCUCAAGAGGAUUUAUUAAGACUGGGCUUGGUGAUAGAAUUGCUUUGUAUUUUGUAAGUUGGCUUGGGAAAAAUACAUUGGGCCUUUCUUAUGGACUUGCUUUAAGUGAGGCAGCAAUUUCUCCAGCAAUUCCAAGUACAACUGCAAGAGCUGGUGGAAUUUUUUUACCAAUAAUUAAGUCAUUAGCUGUUACUGCUGAUAGUCACCCGAAAGAUGAUUCUGCUAAGAAGCUUGGAGCAUAUCUUAUUCAAUCUCAGUUGCAGUGUUCUAGUACUUCAAGUGCCCUGUUCCUAACAGCUGCUGCACAAAACUUAUUGUGUCUGAAAUUAGCUGAGGGAUUAGGUGUAGAAAUAUCAAGUAAAUGGCUUACUUGGUUGAAGGCUUCUUGUAUGCCAUCAGUUGUAUCUCUUUUAGUUACUCCAGUUGUGCUAUACAAGAUUUUCCCUCCUGAAAUGAAGGACACACCAGAUGCUCCAUUAAUGGCUAGAAGGAGACUGGAACAGAUGGGUUCAAUCAAAACUGAUCAAUGGAUAAUGGUGAUUGUAAUGCUUAUAACUGUAGCAUUAUGGAUUGCUGGAGAGGCUCUUGGGAUACUAAGUGUUGUCACAGCAAUGUUGGGAUUGUCGCUACUUUUGGGUUUUGGAGUAAUUGACUGGAAUGAUUGCUUGAGUGAAAAAUCCGCUUGGGAUACCUUAGCUUGGUUCGGGGUUUUAAUAGGCAUGGCAACACAGUUAACAACUCUUGGAGUUGUUGCCUGGAUGUCAGAUGCUGUAGCUAACUUCCUUAAAUCAAUUUCAUUACAUUGGUUCGGGGCGUUUUGUGUCCUUCAAGCAACAUAUUUCUUCAUCCACUACUUGUUUGCUAGUCAAACUGGUCAUGUUGCAGCAUUGUACUCAGCAUUUCUCGGAAUGUGCUUAGCAUCAAAAGUUCCCGGUCUUUUUGCUGCGUUGGCUUUGGGAUACAACACAAAUCUUUUUGGCGCAUUGACACAUUACAGCAGUGGUCAAGCUGCAGUGUACUAUGGAGGUGGUUAUGUGGAACUACGCGAUGUUUUCAAAUUGGGCAUCAUCAUAGCUCUUAUGAAUAUUGUUAUAUGGGCAUUAGUUGGAGCUGGUUGGUGGAAGAUUAUUGGUCUUUACUAAUACUGAAAUAGGAAGUUUCUGGUGUACAGGACAGGUUGCAUUUGGCUCUAAUUUUUUCAACUUAAAGGUUUAAUAAAAGAACGAUCACGUUCCUUCAAUUGUUGCCAUUGGAGUCUUCAUAAAUGUCGUUGGGUAUCUGUUGGAUCCACCAAAAAUAGCAUUAUUGAGAGGAUUUCGACACAUGUGCGAACGACAACAUUUUGUAAACCUUAGUGAAAAUGUUGUAUAUAUUCUAGCAAGUUAUGCAUUUUUUGUAAUUACAAUUUCCAACCAAAUGAUUCAUUAAUCCAACCAGCACAAGAUUUUGAUUUCAUAGAAUAUAA